GCGAGUGAAGCGGCAACAGCUCAAAUUUGAAAGCUGGCUCCGGCCCGCAUUGUAAUUUGCAGAGGAUGCUUUUGGCGAGGUGCCUUCCGAGUUCCCUGGAACGGGACGCCAUAGAGGGUGAGAGCCCCGUAUGGAUGGACACCAAACCUGUGUAAAGCUCCUUCAACGAGUCGAGUAGUUUGGGAAUGCUGCUCUAAAUGGGAGGUAAAUCUCUUCUAAAGCUAAAUACCGGCCAGAGACCGAUAGCGCACAAGUAGAGUGAUCGAAAGAUGAAAAGCACCUUGAAAAGGGGGUUAAACAGUACGUGAAAUUGUUGAAAGGGAAGCGCUUAUGACCAGACUUGCGCCGGGCAGCUCAUCAGGGGUUCUCCCCUGUGCACUCUGCCCGGCUCAGGCCAGCAUCGGUUCUCGUGGGAGGAUAAGAACAGUGGGAACGUGGCCCCCUCUCGGGGGGGUGUUAUAGCCCACUGUACGAUACUCUCGUGGGGACCGAGGUUCGCGCUCCGCAAGGAUGCUGGC
rnacentral:rRNA from 1 species